rnacentral:rRNA from 1 species
AACGAACGCUGGCGGCAGGCCUAACACAUGCAAGUCGAACGAUAUAGUGGCAGACGGGUGAGUAACGCGUGGGAACGUACCUUUCACUACGGAAUAGCUCCGGGAAACUGGUGGUAAUACCGUAUACGCCCUCAGGGGGAAAGAUUUAUCGGUGAAAGAUCGGCCCGCGUUGGAUUAGCUAGUUGGUGAGGUAAUGGCUCACAAAGGCGACGAUCCAUAGCUGGUCUGAGAGGAUGAUCAGCCACACUGGGACUGAGACACGGCCCAGACUCCUACGGGAGGCAGCAGUGGGGAAUCUUAGACAAUGGGGGAAACCCUGAUCUAGCCAUGCCGCGUGAGCGAUGAAGGCCUUAGGGUUGUAAAGCUCUUUCAGAUGGGAAGAUAAUGACGGUACCAUCAGAAGAAGCCCCGGCUAACUCCGUG